rnacentral:tRNA from 1 species
GGUGGCUUAGUGGUAGAGUGAUUGCCUUGCAUGCAUGAGGACCUGGGUUCAAUUCCUCAGCACCA